rnacentral:rRNA from 1 species
UACGGGGGGAGCAAGCGUUGUUCGGAUUUACUGGGCGUAAAGGGCGCGUAGGCGGCGCAACAAGUCACUUGUGAAAUCUUCAGGCUUAACCUGAAGCGGCCAAGUGAUACUGUCGUGCUAGAGUGCGGAAGGGGCAACUGGAAUUCUUGGUGUAGCGGUGAAAUGCGUAGAUAUCAAGAGGAACACCUGCGGCGAAGGCGGGUUGCUGGGCCGACACUGACGCUGAGGCGCGAAAGCUAGGGGAGCGAACAGG